rnacentral:rRNA from 1 species
GACGAAGGGGCUAGGCGUUGUUCGGAAUUACUGGCGUAAAGCGCGAUGUAGGCGGUUGUCCAAGUUGGAUGUGAAAGCCUUGAGCUCAACUCAAGAAAUGCAUUCAGGACUGGAUGACUAGAGGACCGGAGAGGAUAGUGGAAUUCCCAGUGUAGUGGUGAAAUACGUAGAGAUUGGGAAGAACACCAGUGGCGAAGGCGGCUCUGCGGACGAU